rnacentral:rRNA from 1 species
UGGGGAAUAUUGGACAAUGGGCGCAAGCCUGAUCCAGCCAUGCCGCGUGAGUGAUGAAGGCCCUAGGGUUGUAAAGCUCUUUCACCGGUGAAGAUAAUGACGGUAACCGGAGAAGAAGCCCCGGCUAACUUCGUGCCAGCAGCCGCGGUAAUACGAAGGGGGCUAGCGUUGUUCGGAUUUACUGGGCGUAAAGCGCACGUAGGCGGACUUUUAAGUCAGGGGUGAAAUCCCGGGGCUCAACCCCGGAACUGCCUUUGAUACUGGAAGUCUUGAGUAUGGUAGAGGUGAGUGGAAUUCCGAGUGUAGAGGUGAAAUUCGUAGAUAUUCGGAGGAACACCAGUGGCGAAGGCGGCUCACUGGACCAUUACUGACGCUGAGGUGCGAAAGCGUGGGGAGCA